rnacentral:rRNA from 1 species
GGCUCAGAUUGAACGCUGGCGGCAGGCCUAACACAUGCAAGUCGAGCGGUAGCACAGAGAGCUUUGCUCUCGGGUGACGAGCGGCGGACGGGUGAGUAAUGUCUGGGAAACUGCCUGAUGGAGGGGGAUAACUACUGGAAACGGUAGCUAAUACCGCAUAACGUCGCAAGACCAAAGUGGGGGACCUUCGGGCCUCAUGCCAUCAGAUGUGCCCAGAUGGGAUUAGCUAGUAGGUGGGGUAACGGCUCACCUAGGCGACGAUCCCUAGCUGGUCUGAGAGGAUGACCAGCCACACUGGAACUGAGACACGGUCCAGACUCCUACGGGAGGCAGCAGUGGGGAAUAUUGCACAAUGGGCGCAAGCCUGAUGCAGCCAUGCCGCGUGUGUGAAGAAGGCCUUCGGGUUGUAAAGCACUUUCAGCGGGGAGGAAGGCGGUAAGGUUAAUAACCUUGUCGAUUGACGUUACCCGCAGAAGAAGCACCGGCUAACUCCGUGCCAGCAGCCGCGGUAAUACGGAGGGUGCAAGCGUUAAUCGGAAUUACUGGGCGUAAAGCGCACGCAGGCGGUCUGUCAAGUCGGAUGUGAAAUCCCCGGGCUCAACCUGGGAACUGCAUUCGAAACUGGCAGGCUAGAGUCUUGUAGAGGGGGGUAGAAUUCCAGGUGUAGCGGUGAAAUGCGUAGAGAUCUGAGGAAUACCGGUGGCGAAGGCGGCCCCCUGGACAAAGACUGACGCUCAGGUGCGAAAGCGUGGGGAGCAAACAGGAUUAGAUACCCUGGUAGUCCACGCCGUAAACGAUGUCGAUUUGGAGGUUGUGCCCUUGAGGCGUGGCUUCCGGAGCUAACGCGUUAAAUCGACCGCCUGGGGAGUACGGCCGCAAGGUUAAAACUCAAAUGAAUUGACGGGGGCCCGCACAAGCGGUGGAGCAUGUGGUUUAAUUCGAUGCAACGCGAAGAACCUUACCUGGUCUUGACAUCCACAGAACUUUCCAGAGAUGGAUUGGUGCCUUCGGGAACUCUGAGACAGGUGCUGCAUGGCUGUCGUCAGCUCGUGUUGUGAAAUGUUGGGUUAAGUCCCGCAACGAGCGCAACCCUUAUCCUUUGUUGCCAGCGGUUAGGCCGGGAACUCAAAGGAGACUGCCAGUGAUAAACUGGAGGAAGGUGGGGAUGACGUCAAGUCAUCAUGGCCCUUACGACCAGGGCUACACACGUGCUACAAUGGCAUAUACAAAGAGAAGCGACCUCGCGAGAGCAAGCGGACCUCAUAAAGUAUGUCGUAGUCCGGAUUGGAGUCUGCAACUCGACUCCAUGAAGUCGGAAUCGCUAGUAAUCGUAGAUCAGAAUGCUACGGUGAAUACGUUCCCGGGCCUUGUACACACCGCCCGUCACACCAUGGGAGUGGGUUGCAAAAGAAGUAGGUAGCUUAACCUUCGGGAGGGCGCUUACCACUUUGUGAUUCAUGACUGGGGUGAAGUCGUAACAAGGUAACCGUAGGGGA